GGGGACGUGGCGAAAUGGCAGACGCGCCAGACUUAGGAUCUGGUUUCGAAAGAAGUGUGGGUUCAAGUCCCACCGUCCCCA
rnacentral:tRNA from 1 species